rnacentral:lncRNA from 1 species
CUGGUCCUGCCAGCUUCACAGGUUGCUGUACAUAGAGGAAUGGUUGGUUGAAAGUGCCCUGCAUAACGCAAGCUCUUUAGGACUCGCAAACAGCCUUAAUCGCAGUAAGGGGGCACAUCAGGGCUGUGAGAAGGCCCCCUUGAGGGCUCGGCACAGGUGAUUCUGGGCUCUCUGUGCUUGCCAGCCUCCUAAAGUAGGUGCCCACUUUCAGAAGCUCUGCACGCCCCACCUGGGCGCCUCUGCUGGAGGUCUGCCUGGCCCGGGGCACCCGUGUGCGCGCGAGGAUUUCUUUUGCAGAGAAUGAAACCACCGUUCCUUUCCGUCCGUGGUCUACUCCGGGGUCCCCAUCCCACGCCAUAUUCUGCUGAUGGAGAAAUGGGAUCUCACCCAAGGAAAGUGACUUGCCAGGGUUACACCACUGAUCUCUCCCAAAAAGGAUGCUUGUAGAAAACGAUGAUUCUGAAAUGGUACAAAUCCCUUUCCCAAAAGGCAUCUCAAAGCCAGCCGCUGCUACUGACUUAUUGAUGGCUAUCACCCAGUGGCCUUGGGGAGGCGGUGGGAAGCCCAACCACUGCCUGUAAUAAGGAGAGACAACUCAGCAUCCACCCUGCAGUGAAUAAUAGAACAAAAAGCUGCCGGCGCCUGCAGGAUCAAAGCACAUGAGCGAUCACAGUGUCUCUGGGUUAAAUAGAUCCGCGAAGGCCAGGCAGCCAGCAGAUGUCAUGGAACUUUUUGGGGGAGAAGUCUGGGUUAUGGAGGAAGCCUCAGCUGGAUUUCAGUACCUUACAAGAUGCUCUUCUGUGGCUCUCUCCUGCUAACCUUCCUUGGACAUGGAAUAAUCUUCCCUUUAUCCUCCCUCUUCACCACUGCUGUUCCCAAAGUCUAAAAAGAUGGGGGCAGGAGGUGAGACAGGAGGGGAUGGGAAAAGAAUACUGGACCAGGAGGCAGGAGACACUGGAUCUGUGAGUGAAGGCAAUGCUGAAUGACUUCCAUGGCCUCAGUCUCCCCAUCUGUAAAAUGGGAAGGUUGAUAUAUGGCCUCAACCUUUCUGCCCACUUUGAUAAACCAUAUUUCACCAAAAAGAGGCAGAGGGGAUCUGUUGCUUUUCAGAUUCCUGUCCAGUUACUUCUAGGUCAGACAGAAUGAUUGCCCCAAUGAUUCUGGGUCCGCAGACUCAGUCUGUGAAACCCCAUUUCUUGGAGGAGUUGGGAUCAGGACAGGCAAGAAGACUAUACUAUUCCUGCCUCCUAUUUGCUCCCUCUUGCCAGUGGGGAAAUCAGUGGCAACCUUAGAGUAAUCUUGGAGGGGUGGGGGGAUGAGUUAUUAUUGGGAUUUUUAUCUGCAAAGAAUAUUUUCAGAUGUUGUUUGUGCAUUUAAAUGUACAUGCAGUUCUAGAGGAGAAGACUCUAGUGGUUGCGGUGCUGUGAGGCAUUUUGCAUAUAUUUAUCUCACUCAAGAAGAACUGUGGGGUCCUUGUGAAAGUAAGUGUGUAUGUGUGUGUGUGUGUGUGUGCGCAUGUCCUGAGUCAGCCUGAGUCCUGAGCCUUUUGUCUUUGCUCCUGAGUAAGCCACUGGGGGAGGUAAAUAUAUAAUUGGAGGAAGAAAUGUGUCAGAAAAUAACUUCUUUACUUGUGGAAAGUCAUUGAAAACCCUUGGUUUUGCGUAUGAGCACAGCACCCUGUAGGCAGGUGAGGAGUCUUAGAACACGGCGGGGAGCGAACCAGACACGUACUAAAGAAACCUCCAUGUUUGAUAUAAACCCAAUGCACAGGUCCACACAGACAGGGCAUGGAGGUGUGCUCCACAGGGCCACCACACGGACCUCUGUGAUGGCAAGCCCGGAUGCAUGUACAACUAAACAUCCUCACAGAUACACUUUAAUGUAGGUGGAGACCUGGUGUUAUGGGUUAGACUAUGUCCCCCCACAAAAUAUAUGCUCAAGUCUCAUCUGCCAUCUACAUUAUUUGGAAAUAGGGUCUUUGCAGAUGUAAACUGGUUAAGAUAAUAAAAAAAAAAAUAAAUAAAUAAAGGUAAUGGCAACAAUGAAAAAAAAAAGUAAGUCAUCCUGGGAUAGGGUGGGAGAGCCCUAAUUCAAUGUGACUGGUGUCCUCGAAAGAAGAGGGGAAUUUGGACACAGAGACACAGCUGAACUUACUGAGCAGAGCCUCCCAGAUGCUGCAAACUCAAGGAGGCCUCUGUGCUCAUAUCUUUAUUCUCUCUCUCUCUCUCUCUCUCUCUGUCUCUGGUACAGCGUUUAUGCUUUUUGGCAGUUCUUUCCUCUUCAUUCCCCCAUCUCUCCAAUUACACAUUCAUAUACACAUAAACACUCCGAUACCCUCAAACUACCAGAAGCCACGUCAGAGACUUGAGAACUUUGGACCAGGAACUGAUGGAGACAAAGAUGACCUAGGAAGAUGGCUACAUUGGGAAUGGAGGCAGAGAUUGGAGUUAUGUGGCCACAAGGGAAGGAACUCCUGGGGCUCCCAGAAGCUGGAAGAAACAAGGAUCCUUCCCCUAUAGGCUUUGGAGGGAGCGUGGCUCUGCAACACCUUGGUUUUGGACUUCUAGCUCCAGAAGUGUAAGAGAAUAAAUUUCUGUGAUCUCAUAUUCAGUUCAUGGUGCUAUAUCAUGGUAGCCCUAGAAACUAAGAUACACAGGUAUGUUGGAUGUAUGGGUCAGGCCCACACCCAGGGUGCAUACGGCCUUUGGUUAAAAAAAAACUCUCAUUUCUGUGGGGAAUCCAUUGCCAGUGGUCUGGAUGACAUGGCCACUGCCUCUCUUCAGGGAUGUGCACAAGACCCUGGCCUGGCCAAUCAGAAUACCUCAUGCCCAGGACCACAGUAACUGGGUCAGGGGUUGUCAAGAUUUAUAUAAAUGAUUUACAUAAAAUGUUUAAAUGUUUUGUUAAAAUAUUUAAAAUAAAAAAUGUUUCUAAGAUUUCAGUUGCCAAUUGUUUUUUGUGAGUAUAUACAAAUACAACUGAUUUUUACAUAUUGGUUUUGUAUCCUGUAUACUUGCUAAAUUCAUGCAUUAGUUGUAUUUUUCUAGAUUUCUUAGAAUUUUCUAUGUACACAAAUCACAAUGUCUGUGAAUAUACACGACAUUACUUCUUCGUUUCCAAAACUUAUGCUUUUCACUUCUUGUUCUUGCCUUGUUGCACUGGGUAGAACCUCAGUUGUAUAUUAAAUAUAUUUUUUAAAAAGGUAGACAUUUGAGCCUUGUUUCCAAUCUUGGGAAGACACUAUUCAGUCUUUUGCCCUUGUCUGCUUCUAAGCUGCCAAAGCCUGUGCUGUGGUGGGGAAAUGUCACUCUGUGGGCCAGCCAUGGUGUGAGUGUGCAGAUGGGACAGCAGCAGCAGGUGCAUUCUCCUGGGAGGCCAGGCCUGGUGGCAGGCAUCUGUAAUCCCUGCUAUUUGGGAGGCUGAAGCUGGAGGGUGGCUUGAGCCUGGGAGUUCGAGUCCAGCCUGAGCCACACAGCGAGACACUGUCUCUUAAAACAAAAAAUAAAAAACAAAACCAACAACCCCCACGCCUGCCUGCCAAAUUUUCCUGGGGAAGGCAAGACACACAAUUAAGAAAGUAAACAUUAUGUCAUCCUUGUCUGUAUCUCAGUAGCCAUAGUUGUGGAUUCCUUCAGUUCUCUCUUGGUAGAAGGUGGGGCCUGAAUAAAUGACGACAUAAAGCCAGCUGAACUUAGUGAGCAGAGCCUCCCAGAUGCUGCAAACUCAAGGAGGCCUCUGUGCUCAGAUCUUUAUUUUCUCUCUCUCUCUCUCUCUGUCUCUGGCACAGCGUUUAUGCUUUUUGGCAGUUCUUUCCUCUUCAAUCCCCCAUCUCUUCAAUUACACAUUCAUGUACACAUCAACACUCCGAUACCCUCAAACUACCAGAAGCCACAUCAGAGACUUGAGAGCUUUGGACCAGGAACUGAUGGAGACAAAGACGACCUAGGAAUGGUUGCUUGCCCUACCCUCAGGAGUUUACAAUUACUGAUAGAGACAGAAGUCUUUGCAGGAGGUGGGGGGCGGGGGGUAGGAGAAACUUUACAAACACACCUGUCAGCAUACACAGGGAUAAUAAUAGGAAAGGGGGUUUUCAUACAAGGGAAGCAUCUGGAAACUGGGAGGG